UACGAAGGGGGCUAGCGUUGCUCGGAAUUACUGGGCGUAAAGGGCGCGUAGGCGGAUAUUUAAGUCGGGGGUGAAAGCCCAGGGCUCAACCCUGGAAUUGCCUUCGAUACUGGAUAUCUUGAGUUCGGGAGAGGUGAGUGGAAUGCCGAGUGUAGAGGUGAAAUUCGUAGAUAUUCGGCGGAACACCAGUGGCGAAGGCGACUCACUGGCCCGAUACUGACGCUGAGGCGCGAAAGCGUGGGGAGUAAACAGG
rnacentral:rRNA from 1 species